GGCUCAGGAUGAACGCUAGCGACAGGCCUAACACAUGCAAGUCGAGGGGCAGCACAAGGAGCAAUCUGAGGUGGCGACCGGCGCACGGGUGAGUAACACGUAUGCAACCUGCCUGUAAGCGGGGAAUAACCCGUUGAAAGACGGACUAAUACCGCAUAAUACUAAAUUACUGCAUGGUAAUUUAUUUAAACAUUUAUGGCUUACAGAUGGGCAUGCGCAUGAUUAGCUAGUUGGAGAGGUAACGGCUCCCCAAGGCAACGAUCAUUAGGGGUUCUGAGAGGAAGGUCCCCCACACUGGUACUGAGACACGGACCAGACUCCUACGGGAGGCAGCAGUGAGGAAUAUUGGUCAAUGGACGAGAGUCUGAACCAGCCAAGUCGCGUGCAGGAAGAAUGUCCUAUGGAUUGUAAACUGCUUUUGCAGGGGAAUAAAGUGCAUCACGUGUGAUGUUUUGUAUGUACUCUGCGAAUAAGGAUCGGCUAACUCCGUGCCAGCCGCUGC
rnacentral:rRNA from 1 species